UCCUCUCAAACCACACAACAGAAUUUCACGAAACCUUUUUAGAUAAUAAGGACAUACUAUGUAGUUGUGCAUAUCGACGGGAAAUUGCGAUUCCUUUUUUUUUCUAGGAGUUACGCCCCUUUGAACUUAUUUACUUUAAUGUACUACUGCAACAGUUUGUCAUCGCAACUCCUCUCAAACCACACAACAGAAUUUCACGAAACCUUUUUAGAUAAUAAGGACAUACUAUGUAGUUGUGCAUAUCGACGGGAAAUUGCGAUUCAUUUUUUUCUAGGAGUUACGCCCUUUGAACUUAUUUACUUUAAUGUACUACUGCAACAGUUUGUCAUCGCAACUCCUCUCAAACCACACAACAGAAUUCACGAAACCUUUUUAGAUAAUAAGGACAUACUAUGUAGUUGUGCAUAUCGACGGGAAAUUGCGAUUCCAUUUUUUUUCUAGGAGUUACGCCCCUUUGAACUUAUUUACUUUAAUGUACUACUGCAACAGUUUGUCAUCGCAACUCCUCUCAAACAACACAACAGAAUUUCAUGAAACUUUGUAGAUAAUAAGGACAUACUAUGUAGAUGUGCAUAUCAACAGGAAAUUACGGUUCAAUUUUUUUUCUAGGAGUUAUGCCCCUUUGAACUUAUUUGCUUCAAUGUACUUCUGCAACAGUUUGUCAUCUCAACUCCUCUGAAAACACUCAACAUAAUUUCAUGAAAUUUUGUAGAUAAUAAGGACAUACUAUGUAUAUUGACAGGAAAUUAUUAUUCAAUAUUUUUUCUUAUACAUUUUUUUUCUCUUAUACUUAUUUAAUUUCUCCAAUGACAAUGUGGGGACGUGGGGUAUGUGAGCGUGCUCACUAAGGUUCUUUAAUAUUAUAUGUAAGAAACUCAAAAGUAACAAUCUAUGCACAAAACAGUGAUUUUAAAAUGCAUAUUGAUUAACCUAAAAAUCUACACAAUGAAAACAUCGUCCAUCAUAAAAUAAAUAUGGUAAUUUAAAGAAAACAACAGAUAUAUUCUUUUGGGCUUGACCAUCUUUUCAGCAGUAAAUUUGGAAUGUAAACAUGAUUAUUGAAAGGUCUUAUAAAUAAUAAACAGUAAUUUACAAUUGUACGCUACAUACCUCUAUAAUAAACUACCUCAGACAUUCAUGAUACCAAAAGAGCAUGCUCAAGACUAAGAGGGCCUGCCACAUUUUAAAAGAGCAUGUUUCAGACUAAGCGAUCCUGCCACAGUUUAAAAGAGGUUUCAUAAAGUCUCAUUAUCGAUUACAGCAGUAUUCUUGAGAGAUCAGCAUAAGCAUUUACAAUCUUCAGGCCAUUCGAAGAAAAAAACAUUUCAAAACAAGGAAUUAUCUGAAUCUGGUAUAUUUUUGAACUCUGGAAAAUUGAUAAGAAACGUAUGAUGAAAACUAGCUAAAAUUACUAGGCUUGACAAUGCAUGCCAUUGCUGAAGGGUUAGUUAGUUCACACUGAAAUAUCAGUAAAAGUAAUUCUAACCUGAGCCAUGCACACAUGCCUAAUCCACUAUACAUUCCUUAUCUAUUUUCUGGAAUUCAAAAUUAUUCCAGAUUCAACUAAUUUCUUGUUGUUUCUGAAUGUAGCCCUUAUUGUGAAAGAUAUAACAAUAUUUCCAUAGAUAUAUAUCAAUUUUUACAGUUUUAGUUCUAUGAGCAGCAUUACAAUAAAGGGUGAGAAAUGCUUACACAAUCGUUUACUGUAAACCAACUUAUUUUCGCGACUUUCGUUAGUAGAAAAAUAACGCAAAUAUUAAUCGUCGCGAAUAUGUAAAUCUUGGAUCUAUCCUAAUGUAAAUAUAUCGACUAAAUCAGAAAAUCGCGAAAUUAAACCAAUGCGAAGUGGACUCUGAAGGGUUAAACAAGAAAUAAAAUAUCCGCGAAAAUAAGUUGGUUUACAGUAUAUAUGGAGGUCAAUCAAUAGUUUGUAAUCAUAAAUACCCAGUAAUCUUAAAAAAAUUGAAACAUUAUCAGCAUCGAUAACAUGUAAAACAACAAAACCCUGAAAUAAGUUACAGCCAUACCAGAUUUACAUUCAGUAUGGCUUAAUAUUUGGUCCCGAUCAAUGUGAAUACAAACUAAAAUUAUUACAACAGCAACAAAUAUCAGUUGUCACAGCACAAAGUACAAACCAUUUAAUACACACAAAAUACAAUAUAUUCUGUAAAUUCAGAAAUUAUUGCCAGGAUUUCUUAUCAGAGGCGGAUUUGGGGGGGGGGGGGGGGGCAAGGGGCCCAGGCCCACCCCUUUUUCAGAAAAAUUUUGGUUGGUUAUAUAGGGAAUCACUGAAGCGUGACGGAAUCGGGCCCCCCUUAGGCAGUCAGUGGGCCCCCUCUUAUGAAAAUUUCUAGAUACGCCACUGAUUAUUGCAUCUAAUGCCAUUGUGAUGAUUGCAAUAAUAACUUGUAUUCUGAUAUCUAAUACAUACAUGUAUAAAUGAUGCAGAUUUUCUUGAAAUCGCAAUAAGAAAUCUCCCAUCUUUUGUUAUGUUAUAAAAAAAAACAUAAUAAAAGCAUGCAAUAAUUUCUAAAUUUACAGAAUAUUAUAGUUGGAAAGGUUAUGCUUUCAAAACGCUAUUAAAAAUUAUAAAGCAUUACAGUUUUAACAUAUAUAUAAGGUGCUUUCAAAUCAAAUAACAACUCCAUAAAUAGCCUUACACCUUCAACAAUGAGUACAACAUAUAUGAGCAAUAAAUAGGCCUAAAUAAACUAAUUAAAAUAUCUAGAAACAAUUGCAUACAUAAGAUAUAAUAAGAUUAUAUUUUGUUUGGCACUAAAUUCAAUAUCCAGCAUUCAAAGAAUUGAGAGACAUUUGAUUUUUAGGGGGGGGGGGGGGGGGUCUAGGAUGAAAUUUGAGUAAAAAAUAAGGCGGGAAAAUCCACCAUGGGUAUUCAAAUUUGAUAAAUAGAUAAAUUAUAAACAAUUGAAUUAUCUAAAGCGAUUUCUAUACAGUUGUUGAUGUUGACACUUUGAUAUGUGUUAUGUAAAUAAUGCUUGAAAAAUCAAAACUAUCACAAAAUCUUACUAUAAAUAUUCCAUCAAAAAUAUUUUGAUUCUGUAAAAAAUUCAGGUGGGACUGAGGAUAUUGGUUUUUUCUAGGCAAGAUUCAAUUACAAAAAAAUAUUGCUCUUGUGAAAUUCAAUGGAAAUAUAUAAAUGGUGAAUAAAGAUGAUGUAAAAAAAGUUUCACUACAUUUACUUUACUUUAAAAGAGUUGGCAUAUGUUAAAUAAAUAAUCUCCAUGGAAAUAAAAUAUGCCAAUGCUAAUUCAACAGCAUUCCUAAUAUCAUGGAACUGCUACUAGUGGUUCUCUAUAAACUGACAUAAUCACAUGCUUAUACAUUGUUGAUAUUGACAGCACUGCUGGAAACAGCCUAAUAACCUAUGCCUUGCUUUGAAUAGAGUACAUGUGAGCCUAGGCUCCAUGGUGAAGUCUGUACCUUGACCUAUUAUGGUUUACUUUUAUAAAUUUUGACUUGGAUGGAGAGUGUCUCAUUGGCACUCAUACUAUUAUACCACAUCUUCCUAUAUCUAUCCAUCAAGACAAGAUUUUUUUUUUAUUAAUGAUUAAUAGUGAACUCUUCAGUAUGGAGGGUUGAAAGUCAGAAAUAAUUGCCCUCAUUAUUUUAUAUGAUUUGAUUUGUUUAUCAGCUCACACAUGUGAGAUAGAUUUUCAGUUAAUCAAAUUGUGAUUUCUAUAUAAAUGACACAUUUUCUCAAAAAAUAAAAAACAUCUCUAAAAAAAUUAUAAAUUUACAGUGACUUAAAUGCUGUGAAAAAUUACUGACAUGGUUUAAAUACAAAAUAAAUCUACUCUACUGUGUCCAAGGGUUCAAAAAUAUAUCUUCUGUGAGUCAAAGGUCCUGGACUUAUCAAUCUUAAUUUCUAUGCUAUUCUAUCUCUCAUAAAAAAAUCGGUCAUCUUUUCUGCUUCUCUUCAUUAAAAUACAAAUGACAAUUCCAAGCUUAUAAUCAGAUAUAGAUAAGCUCCUAUGGUGUUAAUAUUAAUUUGUUGUUUUCACAGGAUUGACCAAGUUUAAUUUGCAAUGACUCUUUUUGCACAUCAUGUUUCGAUUUCCUCUGGCGGUCUAUACAAAAUUAUGAUGUUCACAACAAAAUCAAAAUAUGGAAUGUUAUAAGUUUAAUAUGAGACUCAGGAGGUAUUAAAAAAUGCUGAAAAACCCACUAAACAUAUUACAAAUUUUCAAAUGUGAGGUAGCUUUAAACUUUCCAAAUUUUCAAGCUACCAGAUUUUCUCAAAAAGGUCAAUCAAACAAAAUUUGGAAUGACCUUACACAAUAUAAAACAGGUCCAGGACCUUUCACCUUUGAACCCUAUUUCUACAUCUGUGUAUCACAUUUAUGAAUCAAAUCACAGUCUAAAUAUAGUUACUACACACUGAUCAUAUGACGUCAUAUUUUAAUCUCAUGAUUGUCCAGUAAAACAACAUAACCUUCUGUUUACAUUGAAGAACCACUCCCUUUUGUACAGUUGUUCUUAUAUUAAAGAUACAUACAUGUAUAAAGGUUGUACAUUCCUCGAAAUUAGUACAGGACCGAUAGGACAUCUCCUGAAAAAAUAUAUUCAGUCCUGACGAUUUUUGUUAAUUAUUUUAUUUUUAUUACAUUCCUAUGAACA
rnacentral:lncRNA from 1 species